rnacentral:tRNA from 1 species
UCCCUGGUGGUCUAGUGGUUAAGACUUGGAGUUUUCACCACUACAACCUAGGUUCAACCCUGGUCUGGGAA